rnacentral:tRNA from 1 species
GUGCCUGUAGUUUAAUGGAUAGAGCAUCAGUCUACGGAACUGAUAAUGGGAGUUCGAGUCUCUCCAGGCACA